rnacentral:pre_miRNA from 1 species
UAAAAGUUAACUCGUAUGGAGUUGGAACCUUUGCCUACCUUGACCGCUAGGGGCGCUGUUCCAAUUGCAUACAAAUUUGAGUUA